UUCUUUUAUUUAAAACUUGCAAUUAUUAAACUUAAUAAACCAGAAUAUAUUCUUGGAACAAUUUGUAAAAAUAAAUCUGAAUCAAAUGAUUUUAACUCAGAUUUUUGAACAUCUUUCUUUCCUAUUCAACCAAGACCGCAUGUUUUAACAUGCUCAAUCUACAGUAUUUUCACCCAUCCAUUAUUAAAUAGGUAAAUUACAAUGUUACUAAAAUAAAUUUCAAAAAGUUAUAAGAUGAUUAUUAAACUUGUAAUAGCAAUUUUGCCCAGGCCCAAUGACAAACAAAUAAAACCUAAACCAAAUAAAUAAAAUCAAAGCCCAAUUCAGACCAGCCCACUAUUUAAUCAGACCAGUCCAACAAAAACCCUAGUAGCCCACAGCCCAAUACAACAUAAACAUUCAGCAGAUAAAAUAAAAAAAACCCUAGCCUCCCUAACUCUUCAGCCGCCAGCCUCCACGCAUGCCCACUGUCACCACCGCUCGCCUAUCACCGGCCACCCAUGCGUCUGACAUCCUCUGACACCACCUGCAAAGAGAAAUCAAUUGCAAGACGAUAAAAAAAUAGAGAUUAACAGUUCUUCCUCCGUUUUUACGAAUAUUAAGAAAUAAAAAGCAAAACUUAAGGUGAAACUUUGUUCUCUGUUGACGUGUUUAUUUAAAUUUGUUUUGCAUUUUUUUUUCUUUUCAUAUAUUCGAAAAUAAUAAUAAAAAGAAAAAAAACUCACCUGGGCUACGGUCUCUUCGCCGGAGUCCCGUUCUCUGUCACCGGAGACGAGUUUAAACAAGGGACGAGGAAGGCUUCUUUUUUUCUUACCUGUUUUGCUGGGCUCGGGCUGAGAAGCCCUUUUGUUCCGCAUGACUCCGGCCACCGUCCUCGGUGGCGUUGCGAUGGGGAUGACGGCGGGGUUCCAAUAGCAGAGAAGGGGAAGCCCGUUUUAUUUUUUAUUCUUUUGUAUUCUUUGCAAAAAAAUGAAACAGCAGAAAAAAAAGAGUAAAAUUUUAGCUUUUAUGGUGAUUGUAAAACGGCGCCGUUUGAAGAAAGGGAUCUGCUCAUUCUUGCCCUAAUGGGUAAUUUUCACAUUUG
rnacentral:lncRNA from 1 species